GAAGACCGAAUGCUCUGCUCGUCACUAGACAGGAGCUGGAGACAGGCAGAUACAUGGCUACUGGACUGAGUCAAGAGAUACCUUGAAGGGAGGAAGAGAAGCCUGAGAGCUUUCUGAAAUUCUGAAAAUUAUAGCAGCUUCACCUACGGGGAGACAGGCUGGAUAUCGAAACUUGAUGAAUUUCAUGUGACUACUGUGGUUGAUGAUAUUAUUGGUCCGCAAUUCUGCCUGCUCUCCUCAUCCUUGCUAUGGUCUACUGUUGCCUUUCCUUGCCUAUCUGUAAGCUCGCACUCCAGUAGUGAGAAACCUGGCUCCCACCAUCCACAAGUUCCAGUAUACAUGCAUAGCAGUAUCAGCAUUGUUAACCUGUAUCCCUGUGGAAAACAGCUUUAUCAACUAGAGU